CCCCAGAGGGCAGAUUCACAGUGUGACCCUGGACAAAGCGAAAAGUUUGGCUUUGAAGUCCUAGGAAGCCGUGCUGUCAGUUACUGCAGGAACCCACGGAAGUACACGUGAAAGCAGGCAUUAGAGACCGUGGAGAUCAGAGGGCAUUUCAAAAGCGGCAGGAGCUAUUCAGAUUCUCUUAGUUAAAGGGGCUCUGAUGCUAGAAGAUGGGAUCUUGUGCAGCAGUCCUUCCUGAGGAACCAUGUGUCAUGCUGUCCUGCCAUGUCUUCAAUUCCUGGCGAGGAUUUAGGAGUCAGGAGAUAAAAGGAAAAUGAGAAGAUGUUUGCUCUGUUUUUUUU
ensembl:lncRNA